rnacentral:rRNA from 1 species
GAUGAACGCUGGCGGCGUGCCUAAUACAUGCAAGUCGAACGCAUUGUGGUUGAAAUGAUAUGAAGAACUUGUUCAGAUUUGAUUUUCAACAUUGCAAUGAGUGGCGAACGGGUGAGUAACACGUGGGAAACCUACCUCUUAGCAGGGGAUAACAUUUGGAAACAAAUGCUAAUACCGUAUAAUAAUUAAAACCGCAUGGUUUUAGUUUAAAAGAUGGUCUUGCUAUCACUAAGAGAUGGUCCCGCGGUGUAUUAGUUAGUUGGUGAGGUAAUGGCUCACCAAGACAAUGAUACAUAGCCGAGUUGAGAGACUGACCGGCCACAAUGGGACUGAGACACGGCCCAUACUCCUACGGGAGGCAGCAGUAGGGAAUCUUCCACAAUGGACGAAAGUACUGAUGGAGCAACGCCGCGUGUGUGAUGAAGGGUUUCGGCUCGUAAAACACUGUUGUAAGAGAAGAAUGACAUUGAGAGUAACUGUUCAAUGUGUGACGGUAUCUUACC